rnacentral:rRNA from 1 species
GUGGGGAAUAUUGGACAAUGGGGGGAACCCUGAUCCAGCCAUGCCGCGUGUGUGAAGAAGGCCUUUUGGUUGUAAAGCACUUUAAGCGAGGAGGAGGCUACCGAGAUUAAUACUCUUGGAUAGUGGACGUUACUCGCAGAAUAAGCACCGGCUAACUCUGUGCCAGCAGCCGCGGUAAUACAGAGGGUGCAAGCGUUAAUCGGAUUUACUGGGCGUAAAGCGCGCGUAGGUGGCCAAUUAAGUCAAAUGUGAAAUCCCCGAGCUUAACUUGGGAAUUGCAUUCGAUACUGGUUGGCUAGAGUAUGGGAGAGGAUGGUAGAAAUCCAGGUGUAGCGGUGAAAUGCGUAGAGAUCUGGAGGAAUACCGAUGGCGAAGGCAGCCAUCUGGCCUAAUACUGACACUGAGGUGCGAAAGCAUGGGGAGCAAACAGGAUUAGAUACCCGAGUAGUCC